AAUCACCGGUCUCGCGAAUGCACUAGAGGUUAAUUUGAUCAUGGCUCAGAUUGCACGCGUGGUAGCAGGCCUAACACAUGCAAGUCGAGCGGAUGACGGGAGCUUGCUCCUUGAUUCAGCGGCGGACGGGUGAGUAAUGCCUAGGAAUCUGCCUGGUAGUGGGGGACAACGUUUCGAAAGGAACGCUAAUACCGCAUACGUCCUACGGGAGAAAGCAGGGGACCUUCGGGCCUUGCGCUAUCAGAUGAGCCUAGGUCGGAUUAGCUAGUUGGUGAGGUAAUGGCUCACCAAGGCGACGAUCCGUAACUGGUCUGAGAGGAUGAUCAGUCACACUGGAACUGAGACACGGUCCAGACUCCUACGGGAGGCAGCAGUGGGGAAUAUUGGACAAUGGGCGAAAGCCUGAUCCAGCAUGCCGGUGUGUGAAAAGUUUGAUUGUUUUU
rnacentral:rRNA from 1 species